rnacentral:rRNA from 1 species
UACGUAGGGGGCAAGCGUUAUCCGGAUUUACUGGGUGUAAAGGGAGCGUAGACGGCAAUACAAGUCGGAAGUGAAAUACCCGGGCUCAACCUGGGAACUGCUUUGGAAACUGUAUGGCUGGAGUGCUGGAGAGGUAAGCGGAAUUCCUAGUGUAGCGGUGAAAUGCGUAGAUAUUAGGAGGAACACCAGUGGCGAAGGCAGCUCACUAGACUGCAACUGACACUGAUGCUCGAAAGUGUGGGUAUCAAACAGG